AAGACCUCUUGCAACAAAGGAGUUCGUCUGGUUUGCUGCUUCAGCAGUGUUGGCUUUGCCCGUUAUAAUUCUGUUCAAACUUUUGUCUGGCAUUUUCUGUAAAAAGGCGAAGAAACCUACUCGACAUGGUCAUUCACACCAUUCACGCCGUAAGUCCAAGAGGGCGCACACAGACAAGUAGGGCGAGGUAGUACAUUGCUUUCAUCAGAAAUCAAGUAUUUCACAGUUUGCAGAUGGGUCAUGUCAUUGUUUCACCGGGCGCUUGGACCAAGUUCUGCAUAGAUUUUCCAUAUGUGCAUAAAGCAUGAAUGGUGAGGGUAGUGGGUGUGAGAAAUUUACUUGUGUACUAUUACUGUUUUGUUGCUUUGGAUAGUGUUGGUGUUUCGUGGUCUUUCCACUACUCGCUGUCAAUGUUGCGACACUGUAUUUUAGUUGUGUAUUACAUAUCGAAGUAGCUGUAUCAACAUCUCCUCAGUCAUAUUUGAUCAUAGGUGUAACGAUGGAGGAAAAAUUAUUCGAAAACUUAAACGGAGGAUAAAUAUAAACAGUUUACUGGAG
rnacentral:misc_RNA from 1 species